rnacentral:antisense_RNA from 1 species
CUUGAUCGACCCGAGCCACAGUGGCUCCGCCCGGUCCUGCCCAUAGGUGGCGAGCAGCGCCUGGGCUUC